rnacentral:tRNA from 3 species
GCCACUGUGGCUUAGCUGGUAUAGCACCUGAUUCGUAAUCAGGAGGUCGGGAGUUCGAACCUCCCCAGUGGCUCCA